rnacentral:rRNA from 1 species
CAGCAGCCGCGGUAAUGCGUAGGUCCCGAGCGUUGUCCGGAUUUAUUGGGCGUAAAGGGAGCGCAGGCGGUUUAGUAAGUCUGAAGUUAAAGGCAUUGGCUCAACCAAUGUAUGCUUUGGAAACUGUUAGACUUGAGUGCAGAAGGGGAGAGUGGAAUUCCAUGUGUAGCGGUGAAAUGCGUAGAUAUAUGGAGGAACACCGGUGGCGAAAGCGACUCUCUGGUCUGUAACUGACGCUGAGGAGCGAAAGCGUGGGGAGCGAACAGGAUUAGAGACCCCAGUAGUCCCUGUCUCUAUACAC